rnacentral:rRNA from 1 species
UACAGAGGAGCCAAGCGUUGUCCGGAUUGACUGGGCGUAAAGCGCACGCAGGCGGUUGCGCGCGUGGGGUGUGAAAUCUGGCCGCUUAACGGCCAGGCGCCAUCCCAUACGGCGCGACUGGAGUGAUGCAGAGGUCGAUGGAAUUGCCGGUGUAGUGGUGAAAUGCGUAGAGAUCAUGAGGAAGACCAGUGGCGAAGGCGGGUCUCUGGACAGUUCCUGACACUGAGACACGAAGGCCAGGGGAGCAAACGGG